GAGGAAAGUCCGGGCUCCACAGGGCAGGAUGGUCCUUAACGGGGACCGGGGGCGACCCCAGGGAAAGUGCCACAGAGAGUAGACCGCCCGCCAAGGCCUGGCCGUGGCGUGGUAAGGGUGAAAGGGUGAGGCAAGAGCUCACCAGUGCCGGCGGUGACGUCGGCAGCUCGGUAAACCCCAUCCGGAGCAAGGCCAAAUAGGGGAGUGAUUGAGGACGGCCCGUUCGAGACUCCCGGGUCAGGCUGCUUGAGGCCAUCGGCAACGGUGGUCCUAGAGGAAUGAUCGUCGCUUCGCAGCGGGCAACUGCUGCGGGGUACAGAACCCGGCUUA
rnacentral:RNase_P_RNA from 1 species